rnacentral:misc_RNA from 1 species
AAAGGAAAUAACUCUUAAUUAAAAUAAGAAUUAAUAUCUAAUAAUAAUUGAAAGUAAAUCCUGAAAAUUCAAUUAGUUUUGCCGAGGGGUCCCACAAUGCGUUCAUAACAUCACUCUCCCCUGAAGAAAGAGCAUGUCCUCAAGCUCAAUAGUAGGAUAAGACUAUGAAUCACCCAUAGUCCUUUUGAUUCGUAGCUUCCUUUGAAUCAUUCAUCUCUAGCCAAAACAACUUCUUACAUUGAUACCUGGAGAAAUAUGGUUCCUUACAAUUAUAGCAAAACCCCUUUGCUCUUCACUAAGUCAUCUAUGGACGGCUCUAUCUUUUAAUAAAGGGAGACGAGACACUUUCUAAACUGAAACUUUGUAAUUUGCUAAUGGCCUGGUUGGCAGUAGCCUUGGUUACAAGCAGAAUGGAUGAAGUAGGUAUUA